rnacentral:lncRNA from 1 species
GAUUUGAGCGGCAAUACAGUUGGUUUCUUGAUGGCCAUUGAAAACAGUUUCUAUAUUUUCAGCUUAGGUGAUCCGAGUGGUGAAAGAAGGUAUACAGGCAGGUGCAUAUUGUGCAUUGUGAGAGAGCUAAAUCAGAGUGGAAGAUACCCAUGGAGAAACAAGAGUUGUUCAUUUGCUGCUACUUAGCCAUGCACCUCUGCAAAUCUUGGAAAGAGUCAAGGAUUCCUGAGGCAAGGAAGUUGGAUAAUGAUGAGCACCAGGCAAGACACAGCUGGCCACUGGAGAGAGAGCCCAGUGUAGGCAGAAGGCCAGAAUGUGCCAACAGUAAGUGAA